GUUAGUGUUUAACGUCCCGUCGACAACGAGGUCAUUAGAGACGGAGCGAAAGCUCAGGUUGGGGAAGUAUUGGGAAGGAAAUUGGCCGUUCCCUUUCAAAGGAACCAUCCCGGCAUUUGCCUGAAACGAUUUAGGGAAAUAACGGAAAACCUAAAUCAGGAUGGCUGGAGACGGGAUUGAACCGCCGUCCUCCCGAAUGCGAGUCCAGUGUGCUAACCACUGCGCCACCUCGCGCGGUUUUUAAUUUAGUGGGGACGCAUAUGGUGACGUCGAAUAACGUGGCGCAGUCAUAAGUUACAAGAACAUACACAUGUGCCACUCCUACUAAAAACAACUAGCUACUAAACUAAAUGGAAAGUAGCUAAACCUUAAAGCCCACACCAAUAAAUAGCUAGAAGCAGUAGCACUAAAGGGGCAUAUUAAAAGUAGGAGCAACUCAAAAACCAAUACCUAAAAGCCGGGGACUUAACGUGAGAUAAGAGGUGAGACAAAUUUUACUUCACGAGUGACAGGCAAAUUUUAUUUUAAUGAGACACAGAGAGUGACGCUCAAUAAAACCCCGUAGUAAUAGGAUAAAAAAUUGAAAACAUGCAAACUACUAUUAAAAGAGGACAUUUUACAGCUAUGUGAAGUAGAAAUUGGUUUGAUCUUGAAGUCCUCACUAUAGGAAAUGUGCAUAUGCAGUGUAGCAGCUAAGCCUCGUGAAGGGUUACCAAAGCAAUGUCGAAAACACUGAAACAUACACGUUAUUUGUAUCAAAAUGUGUAUUUUCCUAUCAGUUGCGUGAAAGAAGGAUAGUAAUCUGCUUUGGUUCUGGAAAGUAUUAAAUUUUGAAUCAAAUAAUCAAAGUGUUGACCAUGUUCACUGCUAAGGUACACACUAGAUUCGCUGUAUGCAGUUCUCUUUCCUACCACUCAGGGUAGGCCUAAUGUUCUGAUGUUAUAACAGUUGUAAGCAUAGCUCUUUCACCACACCAGCGCAGAAAAUUGUUGCACACUCUUUAAUACGUUUGUUCGUUUUUUCCUCCACAGAGGCCCCCUCUACACCGACUCUCUCCGUGAGCCUGUAAGAUGACUUUAGUAACACUGUAAUAACUUUGUCUCUGAGCGAUGGUCUACUGUGUAGAAAAGUAUUUUUGUUUCCCUUUUGUGAUAGAAACAAAACCUUGUGGCACUGUUAUGUGUAAUGUGGUCAUGAAAAUAAGUCAACCCCUUAGCAGUUAUGAUACAAACUCUCUUGAAAAGAAUAUCUGAGUGCACAGCGUGUUAACUCACAUUAUAAAUAACUAAUGCUACAAUAAAUGAAACAAUAAGUUAUAAAAUUUAUUAUCUUGUAUAGUAAGUACAAUAAGAAAUUUCAGCUUCUGGCAACUAAAGUUCGUCCCUAAAGGCUUUACCAGUUCCAAAA